rnacentral:rRNA from 1 species
CAAUAGCAUAUAUUAACGUUGUUGCAGUUGAAAAGCUCGUAGUUGAACUUUUGGUAGGAGCGACCUGGCCUUGGGCGCAUGCCCUUGUUUGCCGUGUGUCGUAUCUGGCCAUCCUUUUCUUCGUUUUUCGGAGGAAUCUUUUACUGUGAGUAAACUGGAGUGCUCAAAACAAGACGUUUGUUUGGUACAUUAAAGCAUGGAAUAAUAAGAUAGGACCUGGUUACUAUUUUGUUGGUUUGCAUAGCUAGGUAAUGAUUAACAGGGACAGUUGGGGGUAUUCGUAUUUAAUUGUCAGAGGUGAAAUUCUUGGAUUUAUGAAAGACGAACGACUGCGAAAGCAUUUACCAAGGAUGUUUNCAUUA